rnacentral:tmRNA from 2 species
GGGGCUGAUUCUGGAUUCGACGGGAUUUGCGAAACCCAAGGUGCAUGCCGAGGGGCGGUUGGCCUCGUAAAAAGCCGCAAAAAAAUAGUCGCAAACGACGAAAACUACGCUUUAGCAGCUUAAUAACCUGCUUAGAGCCCUCUCUCCCUAGCCUCCGCUCUUAGGACGGGGAUCAAGAGAGGUCAAACCCAAAAGAGAUCGCGUGGAUGCCUUGCCUGGGGUUGAAGCGUUAAAACGAAUCAGGCUAGUCUGGUAGUGGCGUGUCCGUCCGCAGGUGCCAGGCGAAUGUAAAGACUGACUAAGCAUGUAGUACCGAGGAUGUAGGAAUUUCGGACGCGGGUUCAACUCCCGCCAGCUCCACCA